rnacentral:rRNA from 1 species
CCUACGGGAGGCUGCAGUGGGGAAUAUUGCACAAUGGGGGAAACCCUGAUGCAGCGACGCCGCGUGAGUGAAGAAGUAUCUCGGUAUGUAAAGCACUAUCAGCAGGGAAGAAAAUGAUGGUAUCUGACUAAGAAGCCCCGGCUAACUACGUGCCAGCAGCCGCGGUAAUACGUAGGGGGCAAGCGUUAUCCGGAUUUACUGGGUGGAAAGGGAGCGUAGACGGCGCUGCAAGACCGGAGUGAAAGCCCAGGGCUUAACCAUGGUACUGCUCUUGAUACUGUGGAGCUUGAGUGCGGGAGGGGGAGGCGGAAUUCCUAGUGUAGCGGUGAAAUGCGUAGAUAUUAGGAGGAACACCGGCGGCGAAGGCGGCCUGCUGGACCGUAACUGACGUUGAGGCGCGAAAGCGUGGGGAGCAAACAGGAUUAGAUACCCCUGUAGUC